UACCGAGGUCCCAAGCGUUGUUCGGAUUCACUGGGCGUAAAGGGUGCGUAGGCGGUCGGGUAAGUCUGACGUGAAAUCUCCGGGCCUAACCCGGAAACUGCGUCGGAUACUAUCCGGCUAGAGGAUUGGAAGGGAGACUGGAAUACUUGGUGUAGCAGUGAAAUGCGUAGAUAUCAAGUGGAACACCAAUGGCGAAGGCGAGUCUCUGGACAAUUCCUGACGCUGAGGCACGAAAGCCAGGGGAGCAAACGGG
rnacentral:rRNA from 1 species